CCUACGGGUGGCAGCAGUGAGGAAUAUUGGUCAAUGGACGAGAGUCUGAACCAGCCAAGUAGCGUGAAGGAUGGCUGCCCUAUGGGUUGUAAACUUCUUUUAUAUGGGAAUAAAAUGUUCCACGUGUGGGAUUUUGUAUGUACCAUAUGAAUAAGGAUCGGCUAACUCGGUGCCAGCAGCCGCGGUAAUACGGAGGAUCCGAGCGUUAUCCGGAUUUAUUGGGUGUAAAGGGAGCGUAGGUGGAUUGUUAAGUCAGUUGUGAAAGUUUGCGGCUCAACCGUAAAAUUGCAGUUGAAACUGGCAGUCUGGAGUACAGGAGAGGUGGGCGGAAUUCGUGGUGUAGCGGUGAAAUGCUUAGAUAUCACGAAGAACUCCGAUUGCGAAGGCAGCUCACUGGACUGCAACUGACACUGAGGCUCGAAAGUGUGGGUAUCAAACAGGAUUAGAUACCCGAGUAGUC
rnacentral:rRNA from 1 species